rnacentral:rRNA from 1 species
UACGUAGGGGGGCUAGCGUUGUCCGGAAUCAUUGGGCGUAAAGCGCGUGUAGGCGGCCCGGUAAGUCCGCUGUGAAAGUCGGGGGGCUCAACCCUCGGAUGCCGGUGGAUACUGUCGGGCUAGAGUACGGAAGAGGCGAGUGGAAUUCCUGGUGUAGCGGUGAAAUGCGCAGAUAUCAGGAGGAACACCAAUUGCGAAGGCAGCUCGCUGGGACGUUACUGACGCUGAGACGCGAAAGCGUGGGGGAGCAAACAGG